rnacentral:tRNA from 2 species
GGAGAGGUGCUCGAGUGGUUGAAGAGGCACGCCUGGAAAGCGUGUGUACGCCAAAAGUGUACCGGGGGUUCGAAUCCCCCUCUCUCCG